rnacentral:rRNA from 1 species
AUUGAACGCUGGCGGCAGGCCUAACACAUGCAAGUCGAACGAGUGGCGGACGGGUGAGUAAUGUCUGGGAAACUGCCUGAUGGAGGGGGAUAACUACUGGCAACGGUAGCUAAUACCGCAUACCAUCAGAUGUGCCCAGAUGGGAUUAGCUAGGUGGUGGGGUAACGGCUCACCAAGGCGACGAUCCCUAGCUGGUCUGAGAGGAUGACCAGCAACACGGGAAAGGAGACACGGUCCAGACUCCAACGUGAGGCAGCAGUGGGGAAUAUUGCACGAGGGGCGCAAGCCUGAUGCAGCCAUGCCGCGUGUAUGAAGAAGGCCUGCGGGUUGUAAAGUACUUUCAGCGGGGCGGCGUUACCCGCAGAAGAAGCACCGGCUAACUCCGUGCCAGCAGCCGCGGUAAUUC